UUCGGAACGAUUGAGUGUGUUAUGGGCUCUCUUUAAAAAUCCCAUCCCCUUGGGGGGACGGUUUUUAAAUCCCCGGGAUUAAAAAACCCAAAAGGGUUGAAUUACUUUACCCCCUUUAAGGAGUUUGGCUGAAUUUUCUUUUCUGAAUAAACCUUAUUUCAAAAAUCCACUUUUCACCACCGGAUCUCUGGGUUCUCGCUUCGAGAAAAAACGCACCGAAUGGCGAUCCGUAUGGGAAUUGGCAAAUUCCAUGGAAUCAUCAAAUCUUUGAACGCCCUUUGCGCUCUCGGGAUUUCCGAAAAGCUGGCUGGUUUGAUUAUCAUAAAACCCCUCAUUUUCUGGAUUCUUAUUUUUGAAUUGGGACUUGACCAAACCCCACCGUACUUUUAACUGUGGGGAGGGUGGCUUCAAUGGCAGGGGCACCGAAUCAUUCUUCUGGGCUAAAAGCAUUAUCUAGUUAUCCCCGAAAAACGAAUUAUUCACUUUUAUGGCUGCAGCUUUACCCUAUAUAAAAGGAAGACAUGGGCCAUUGUGCUGACUGAUGCAGGAAUUCUCAGAGGUCUGUAAAGACUUUUGAAAACUCGAUCUCAAAUCAAGUAAGACUACCCGCUGAACUUAAGCAUAUCAAUAGCCGGAGGAAAGAAGGAUCAUUCAUAAUUGAGUGUUUUAUGGCACUCUUUAAAAAAAUCAUAUCCACCUUGUGUGCAACGUUUUUGAACUCUCUGGCAUUAAAAAGCCAAGAGGGUUUGAUUAACUUAACACUUUAAAGCAGUUUGUCUGAAUAUCUAUUUCUGAAUAAACUAAUUCAAAAUAAACUUUCACAACGGAUCUCUUGGCUCUGCAUCCAUAAAAACGCGCUAAAUGCCAUACGUAUGGGAAUUGUC
rnacentral:rRNA from 1 species